rnacentral:rRNA from 1 species
AUGGACAUCACCAUGUCAAGAGUCCGUUCGGCGAGUGACACGGGCGGCAUCUACUUCACAUACCCAAAGGUGAAUCAUCUCCUUUACACGUGUUCACUUGACACCUUCGAGGAUGGUAUACUACUUGACACUCCACUCAUGUGUAUGCAUAGGUAUUGUCGGAACACUACGGACGACGAGGAGGAGUGCAAGCGUCAAGGAACAACUACACCAUCCGUGAGGGAAGCCUGGAAGCGGAGACGAAAUAAACGGAGCUGCUGGAAGCUACAGUGGCCGGAUAUCUGGGCCAGAGGCCGGACAUCCGGCGCAUGCGCCGAAGAGCUUCAGUAG